AAGCAUAUCUGUGACUCUACUCAUGGCCAGGCAGGGGGACAGUGUAUGCAAGAUUAAUUGGUGUUCAUGUGAGUGCUAACCUGUUUAAUCAGUAACUGGGUAAACUGCAGUAUGCAAAUAUUC
rnacentral:snoRNA from 1 species